GAGCGAGCCGCGCAGGUUAGGAGACACACUACAGUGUCUUGCUUCUGCAGAAGCAGCGAUGCCGUUUGCUUCCUAGGAGGAAUUUUUUUGUUUAGAAAAGGAAGCUCUCUCCCCAGGAAAUGGCUUUCCUUGUGCGUUGCUAUGCCAACUGCCUGCAGCCAUGGUCCUCCAAAACUGGGCCUUGCCGUCUACCAUGUGUAGCCUGGGCGCAGCACCUGCUCCUUCAUUAUGAAACCUCUGGCGGCCCCCGCUCGCCAUGGAGUCCUGGGCCAGCAGGAGAGAUGCUCAGUGAGUACCGCGGGCCGCGCGGUGCCGCCGGUCGGUCGCGCCUGGCUCCGGAGGGAGGGAGAGAGGGAGGCGGGGAGACGGCUGCCUGGUUCUCCAGAUCUGCUGGCGGUUUUAAGCAAGACCACUCUCACUUACACGCAGGAGGACUGACGCUGAGAAACGGCGCUACUGGUGUUCAUGAUUCGAAACCAGAGCCUGGCGGUGCAGCCCGGCUUGAUGCCCAAGGAGUUUGUGCAGCGUCUCUUGAGCGGACUCGGGUGGGAACCGGGAGAGCAGGAAUUGACAGUGGGUGGGGACAGGCCCGCUGCUGAGCAGGGGGGCUCCCGGACUGGCCUCAGGGGCUCGUCGGCGACAGAGGCACAGCAUCUUCCUUAAGGCCACAGGCACGAAACAUCCCCGCUUCCGUAUGCCUGACCCCGCCGGGCAGCUGCGCAGCUGUGGAGCUGAAACCCCACGGAGCAGCGGCCGGGAGAAGCGCUUUUCUGGGUUGAAGCCGGUCGCCGCCUCCUGUCUCAGGAACCCACCGUGCUGCGAGUUUUCUCCAUCACACGCACUCGCGACCCUGACACAGGCAGGGCAGCCUGAGGGGCAGCGCAGUCUAAGAGCUUGGGCGCCUAGCACUGCAGUCUGGGCCUUCGAAGGGCCGACCUAGCCACCCAGCACCGAGUCGGUGAUGACUUUCGGGCAGCGCUUGUCUCUGUUCUCCGAAGUCGCGAUGUUAAAUUUUGAGAAAGGGGAAGAGUCGCUGAGGCUCUGGAAACUUGUCAGUGGUAGGCCUCCGAUGUGGACUGGUUCCUGAGAGUGAUAUGAUAUUAACUUGACAUCAGAGACUUUCUGUGGUGAUGUGGCCUGAGGCAGCCCUGCCCUGGUGUGCUGUGGGUAGUGCCUGGGCCUGGCCCUCUGGCCAAUUACCCUUCUCAGGCAGCUCCACAUCAGGACCCGCUCUCUCCUCCAUUCCCCAGGAGGAAAGGCAGUGCUGAGGGAGUUCCAGAGUGCUUUGAUUUUAUUAGCUGGGCCUUUGAAAUCAAACUUUGUGGGCAGGAGUUUUUCGAGGUAAAAGCAAGAGUGUUAGUGGAACUAUCCUCGAAGAACCUUAGAAACAGUUUAAACCGAAGGCCCCUUACCGUUUUCAUAGAUCUUUUCUCAAAGUGGGUGGAGGAGGAUAUUUAAAGUACCAAUAAUGUAAGUUUAAUGAACAGAGGCAGUUACUGAAACUUUGCUGGCAGAGGGAGGAACAGUGUUACUAGUCUGGGGAAGACAGGACAGCUGGACCCAAGUCCCUGCAUGGCGCGCAGAGCGCCUGAGCUCACGCUUCAUA
rnacentral:lncRNA from 1 species